rnacentral:tRNA from 1 species
GAGGGUAUAGGUUAGUGGUAGAGGACAUGCUUAGCAUGCACGAGGUCCUGGGUUCAAUUCCCAGUUACCUCU